UACAGAGGGGGCAAGCGUUAUUCGGAAUUAUUGGGCGUAAAGGGCGCGUAGGCGGCUUUGCAAGUGACGGGUGAAAUCCCUCGGCUUAACCGAGGAACUGCCUGUCAAACUGCAUGGCUUGAGACCGGGAGAGGUGAGUGGAAUUCCCAGUGUAGCGGUGAAAUGCGUAGAUAUUGGGAGGAACACCAGUGGCGAAGGCGGCUCACUGGACCGGUACUGGACGCUGAGACGCGAAAGCGUGGGGAGCGAACAGGA
rnacentral:rRNA from 1 species